rnacentral:rRNA from 1 species
GUGCCAGCAGCCGCGGUAAUACAGAGGGGGCAAGCGUUGUCCGGAUUUACUGGGCGUACAGCGCGCGCAGGCGGCUGAGUAUGUGACCGGUGACAUCCUCGGGCUCAACCCGAGGCGGCCCGGUUAGACAGCUCGGCUGGAGGCAGGGAGAGGGAUGUGGAAUACCCGGUGGAGCGGUGAAAUGCGUAGAGAUCGGGUGGAACACCAGCGGCGAAGGCGGCAUCCUGGCCCUGACCUGACGCUGAGGCGCGAUAGCGUGGGGAGCAAACGGGAUUAGAUACCCCCGUAGUCC